rnacentral:rRNA from 1 species
AUGUACCAUCAACAGUUGUCUUACUACAUUACCCAGUUUGUCGAAAAAGAUUGCAAGCUUUCAUACACAGUUAUCAAGGGCCUACUGAAAUAUUGGCCCAUUAGAAACAGCACCAAGGAGGUGAUGUGUUUGGGAGAGUUGGAAGAGAUACUAGAAGCUACACAGCCUGCGGAGUUUCAGAAAUGCACGGUUCCUCUUUUCCGCCAGAUUGCAGGUUGUCUGAAUAAUUCUCACUUUCAGAAAAUUGUUCUUGGCAUGGCUGUCAAUCGUGGCUGCUACAUUGGUCAAAGCCAGAGCCUUAAUAUCAGCAUGGGUCAAGUCAACUCCGAGAAGCUAACUUCACUGCACUUCCACGCCUGGUCCAAGGUUUGCCUGUUGAUUUAG